GCCGGGCUAGCUCAAUCGGUAGAGCGUGAGACUCUUAGUCCUCACGGUAUCUCAAGGUUGCGGGUUCGACCCCCGCGUUCGGCU